rnacentral:rRNA from 1 species
UACGAAGGGGCUAGCGUUGCUCGGAAUUACUGGGCGUAAAGCGCACGUAGGCGGAUUGUUAAGUCAGGGGUGAAAUCCUGGAGCUCAACUCCAGAACUGCCUUUGAUACUGGCGAGCUUGAGUCCGGGAGAGGUGAGUGGAACUGCGAGUGUAGAGGUGAAAUUCGUAGAUAUUCGCAAAGAACACCAGUGGCGAAGGCGGCUCACUGGCCCGAUACUGACGCUGAGGCACGAAAGCGUGGGGAGCAAACAGGGA